rnacentral:misc_RNA from 1 species
UCUCCGUAGGUGAACCUGCGGAAGGAUCAUUAUUGUAUAACCGAGGUGCGAGGGCUGUCGCUGACCCGAAAGGUCGUGCACGCCCGAGUGCCCUCACACACAUCCAUCUCACCCCUAUGUGCACCACCGCGUGGGUCCCCCUUUGGCUUGUUCGGAGGGGGGCUUACGUUUUCACACAAACUUUGUAUGCAGUGUAGAAUGUAUUUUUUGUUUUUGCGAUCACGCAAUCAAUACAACUUUCAACAACGGAUCUCUUGGCUCUCGCAUCGGUGAAGAACGCAGC